UGCCAUGUCUUGGCCCAGCUUGAUGGAGUCCUGCCGCUACACGGAAGCGCACCCACGGGUUUCCACUCACCCACGGCGCCCCGCGAUGGCGGCCGUGCGCGUUGCCCCACGCCUCCGCUCCAUUCCCCUCCUGCUCCCCGCGGCCGCAGUCCACCGGAGCUACUCCUGCCGAAGCUCCGCCGCCGCCGUCGACUCCGCACGCGCCAUGCCGUCAUCCUCCUCCACGUCGUCGGCCCCCUCUCCGUAGACGACGCUGGCGGGGCGCGUCCGCUGCGAGCGCGAGAUCAAGCGCAGCAAGUUCAUCGCAAUCGCCGCAUCCGUCCCCGACGAGCGCGCCGCCAUGUCCUUCCUCAACGAGAAGUCACUUGAUCUUGCAAUGUCACGUAUUGAUUGUAUCGUCGCACCGAGCUUCAAGUAUUAGAGAGGCUACAGAUACAGAAGUUUGUGUUAUCCGUAUACAAGUAUCGUUGGGCGGAUGGUACAUUUUCUUUGAUUGUGCAUACAUUGACACAAACGGAUGUUUUGUUGUCGGAAAAAAAUCAGAUCAGAAUAGCUAGGCGUGCAUUGUCAGAUGAUUUUGCGCAAGACGAACCUGUAACUGUUCAAUACCAUCCAGCAGAUGUGAGUAUAGAAGGAAAAUUCAUGGUGCUCUCAGAAGAUGAUGAACGUGUGAAAAUUAGUUGUUGGGGCAAAUUCAUUACAAAGGUGGGCUGGAAUUAAUAUAAACACGAAGAUCGUGAUACUGUUCUUCGGAUGUCGUAGUGACGAUACCAAGACCAGCUGGUUGAUUAUUCACCGUCUACACCGCCGUGAUAAGACCUGACGACAUCGGGCUAGCCGGUCGGAACGUCCUUUCCUUUACUUCCCGAGUUAGGGAAAUAAUUUAUAGAAGAUGAUGAACGACUAAAUCAGUAGUUUGAUGGAUGUACGCAAGGCUCGACAUCAGGAAUUCGGGACAAUCGGACGAAGACGGACGAAGACGCAUAUUUGAACGGACAAAAGCUUGGACGGACCAAACCACGGAAACGCUUUCUCCUUUAUUAUUAGGUAUAGAUGUACUUCUGACUAUAAUUUGAGCUGUGGCUUUAUUUUCCCAAGUUCCGCGUGUCAUUUUCCCUGUAUGGUGCUUUGGUCCCAACUCCCAUGUAUUGAGUUGUGGUGACUUUGUGCACUGAUAUUUGUCCUGAACUACUGACAGAAAUUACAUGAGCAGUUUUCUAACUGCUUCCUCUUAUUCCGAUUCUUUUGGUUAGUCGUCUAUGAGAACUUCAAGAAGAGAUAGCUCCCGGUUGCAAUGGCAAAAUAAUAUUCUGAAGAUGUUUGUUUCAGAGUCCGAGAACACAUCUUCUUGAGGAGCUUAAGAAGCUCUUCCUGAAGGCGUUGAAGCAUACAGGCAGAUACGUGCUACUUCUGCUGUUGAAUCAGAACAGUUGGCUCAAUCCCUAAGUGUUUUGCCAAAUGGAGAUCCAGAAGUGAAAGCUGAACUCUUACCAAAGUGAAAGCAUGAUCUGUAAAGCUUAUUCCAGUCUACGAUUAGAAGCAAUGCAGCAAGGUGAAGUUAUCUGUUGUCAGAGAAGAUUAAUAGUUCGUGGCAUACUUCCCAAAGAUAGCCAUAGCAGCAGUUAGUUGGUUUCCUGUUAAGGCUUUUGUCCUGUACAAAUUUGUUAAUGUAGUUACUCAACAGAAAUAGAAGAUCUUACUGUACAGUUAAGCAUGACGAAAGCCAAAAUGGAAGGUUUGAUUUGUUGCAUCUUUUUUAUUUUUGACUGUAACUACGGCGGGCGUGAGCCAGCCUGAACAUAUAUUCAAUCAAGUUGCCUAUGAAGCUUUUCAGCCUCUACAAGAUAGGUUCAAAUGAACCAGAGUACACGGGGUUACAAGAGAGAAGAAAAAAACACACACACCAACAACACACAAGACCGAGGAGAAAAAAGUGGCCACCCCACAAAACUGGGGGCAGUUGGCCGAUGAGAAUACGACCCAAGUACAACGAUCACAAGGAAGAGUCCUGAGGACACACCAGAGGGACAACCCAGCUCGAGGCUCCAUUGGAGUAAUCGAACGGCUUUGGUCCGUCGAGACCCAGCAACGACACUGCAACCAUCGAUGUAAUCGAAGGGCCACGCGCAUCCGAGACCACACUACGCAUCGACACCACAUGUGUCAAGGGUGUGGCCGAAAGGUCGCACGUGGCCGAGGCGACGCCACGACGUCUGUGUGCCACCAGCUGGAGUCGAAGGGCAUCACAAAGCAGAGACAAGCCCAUUGAGCACUUGCACAUGGAGCACCCUCGACAUGCCAAACCUCGACACGCCAAAGAGCUCUGACAAGGACCCGACACCGGAGCCCAGCAACCGGCAAGAAGAAGCUACCACCACCACUGCCACGGCUCACCUCGCAUCGGAGAGGAGACCGCACCCAUGACCGCCAUCUGCAUCACCAUGGGGCACACCAGAACAGAUAGGAGCAGCGUCCUCUGCCACUGAUGGCAAGACAGAGGGGCUCAACACCCAGCCACGACGACCCCCGGGUGGGGAGCACAUCACCACCAUGGCCGCCACUGCGAAACCACGGCACCCGCCAACCCCAGCGGCGAUCCGAUGCAGGUUGAUAGCUGAGUAAAGAGGAGGUGACCCUCGCAGCCACAACACCAACCAGCAGUGGCCAGCAUAUACUGCCGUCAAGACGGCCGAACGCCGACCACCACCGGACCGCCAGAAUUGGAGAACUCGUCGACCCAAACCGAAAGCGCCACACCAUGUGGGGUGUUCAUUGUGGAUUCAGUAUCAACUAUAAUUUUGAAACUGCCACAUGCUUAAACCUGCAAAUAAACAGUUAACACAGGA